CAUCUUAACAGAAGAAAUUAACUAACUCAUCCACUCAUACAGAGAAAAGCUAGUACUCUCAGAUCACAUAAGCUGGCAGCCAAUCUCCCAACACAAACAUCAGGACGAGUCUUGCUGCCAGCAUCUCCUGCUUACAUACAUACAUACGACGCUCAAUACAGACAUACCAAACUACAUCAGCACCAUGUUGAACAUUCGCCAUCCAACUCCAGGUGUAUGGCCCAAGCAAGACCAGAGCAACUAGAGAGCAAGCUCAGAUCUGCAGACAUGUAUUGAGUUAGAAACGUGAAGCUACCACAGUUGAUGCAAUGGGAAUCUUUCCUAUCCUAAGUUCUGAAGAAGCAGGCAUGCGCUAAAUUGCAAAGUACAACAUAGCUUAAGAAUAACCGGACAGAAGUGCUUAUUUAUGCCCCCCGCAAGAAUCCCAGAGCCAUCUUAUUGCAGUUCAGAAGGAAUAUACAUAAAAAUUAGCAGACCAUAAACAGGUGAACUCUAUCGUCUGCUCUUGGAAACAGAACAUGUAAAUAAGGAGUGCUCAUAAAUAGACGGCCAAGAGCCUUGAAACAUCAAUUUACAGGUUAUGCAAGCGCGAUAGUCAUUUUCUCUCCUAAGAUAUGGAGCAACAAAUAUUAGCUUUCCAAACUAGUAUGUGUUCUUUUUUUUUUCACCAACGGAGGCCCUCCUAAGAUAUAAUUGUUAAACAUACGUGCAAAAUCAAACAAUGAAUUGGCUGCCUCACCUAGCUAGUUUGACAAGGCAAUCAAGCCCAAUACUAAGUCCACACAUAAACAUGUGAGUAGAACAAGCAAAUUGUCAACAAAAAAUUAAUAUGAUUAGGCUUACCAAUUGAUCAAAUAGCUGGUUCUGAUAACAGCCGUGGGAAGCUAAAAUAGGGGAGAGCAUGUUUGCACUCGAAGAAGUUCUCCAUCUUUGUACAGACCUUGCUAAUUUCAUAAGUCUUGACGUCCAUCGAGUAACAAUCGAGAUUCUCUAACCCACUGCCAAGUGGAACGCCUUGGAAGAACAAGAGCCCCUCGGCCGCACCCACUGUGGAAAUGGUAUAUUGAUGAUACUGCUCAGGUAGCUGUAUGAUCUUCUUCAGAUUCCAUUCAUGAGAAUUAUCCUGCAGAGAGGUAUGGUGGAGGGCAAAGGACCCGUUUUGAUGGAUUAGAGAAAACAUCUCAAUGACUCCUUCCCUACCGACAACAACUGCAUUUCGACGCCAGCCGGUAAAGAACUCAAUGGUUGGAUCAACAUCUCUGAGCUGCAGAUGGUACCCGGUGAGAAUAUUGACAGCUGAAAACCUCAAAGUGCACGUGUCCAGCACCCUCAAAUCACUAUCCAACUCCCAAGGUUGCGGCCAGUAGAAGCAGCCACGCACACAGUCAAAACAGGACGUGUGUUCCAAAGCAGGUGCGAAGGGAGAAUCGACCAUAGACCAUUGUUCACUAUCACUAGCUGUGGAUGAAAAGACAAAGAGGACGAGCUUUGUCAGGUAUCUUGCAAAGCAUAUCACCUUGAAGGGCUCCUCCUCGCCGUCGUCCCCGGUGGCUGGAGCGAGCACAGGAUCGAAUGCCAAAAGGCGAUCCUGCGGCUGGGCGGCGAGGUCCUCGGGUAUGGUUGGAAGCAGCGCGUAUCUGCGAGAUAAGGGAUGGCAGACGGCGAGUUGGAACCUGGCGGCGUUGCGUCGCUCCCGUUUGGGACCAUCCUCGUCGUCACCGAGCUCCUCAGAGUCUUCUUCGGAGUUGUCGUCUUCCAGGAGGAUUGUAAGUGCAUCUAGUGCCACCCCUAGUUGGUUUUGGAGUAUUGACGACAAACCUAGUUGAGAGACUAAUGUGUUUGUGAGAAUUGCAGGAUAACACAGGUAGAAGUCCCUCAUUGAUUCGGUUUUCCUACCGGAGAUGACCCCUAAAAAUGUAUGAAGACAUUGAAGUCAAAGGUGGUAUAUGAAGAUAUUCACAUUGAAGACUAUGACAAGAGAAGACACCACAUGAAGCCUAUGGAGCUCGAAGACUCAGAUCUUUCGUAGUUCUUUUUCUUUUGUGUUGAGUCAUAGGAACCACCGUACUGUUAAGUGGGGUCCAAGAGAACCAGUCAGAAUGACUGAAGUGAUGCCUAACCAUAACCUAUGUCUUCGAGUGAAGACUAUGAGAGCGAAACUUGUCCAGAGUCGGACAAGUCAGCUUUGCUUGUAGCCCAAGUAAAGUUGCCGUGUGAGUUUGAAAUCUGACCGUUGGAACACAUGUCAGUUCCUUAUUGACCCAGGGUCAUUUCGGACAAAUCAGGUCAGGUUGCCAAGUGGCUAUAAAUAGCCCACCCCCUACAACCAUAAACGGUUGGCUGCUCAGAUUCAGGGUACGGCUUUUGUCGUUUGAGAGCAACCCACCUCGAAGCCUUUGAGAGAGAAUUCAUUGCGAGGAUAAAUCCCUAACCACCCAGAGCCAAAGAGAAUUAGGCAUCACUUAAGUCUUCUUGACUGUGUGAUCUGAAGACUUAUUACACUUGAGGACUGUGCAUCCUCCAGCCAGUUAGGCGUCGCGUUCUGAGCAUCCAAGAGACAUUGUGGAUUGCCGGUGAACGAAGUCUGUGAAGGUUUGGGAGUCUACCUUGAAGACUUACCAGAGUGAUUGGGCGAGGUCUGUGUGACCUUAGCUCAAGGGGAAUACGGUGAGGACUGGGUGUCCUGAGCUGCGUGUCCUAAGGUUUAAAUACCUAGCCGCCCUAACCAGACGUACAGUUGUCACAGCAACUGGAACUGGUCCAACAAAUCAUUGUCUUCAACGAGUCACUGGUUUCAUCUUCCCUUCCCUUUACUUACUGUUACUCCUUGUGAAGUCAUUGUAUGUUUGCACUAUCUUUUGUCUUCACUAAAUGACUGCGUGUUCUGUCUGGCUUCACAAUAUCUUCCUACCUGAUCCUUACUACAUUGCUGCUAUUAGUCAUUGUGCUUUCACUCUAUUGAAUACUUGACUAUGGCCUGCCUAGUGUAGUCUACCUUCCGCUGCAGGGUAUUAGGUUUAUUUCUAUCGUUUGUCUUCAUAACUCCAACGUUUUGAAGACUUUCAUAAAAAUCAGCUAUUCACCCCCCCUCUAGUUGGUAUAACGCACUUUCAAUUGGUAUCAGAGCAAGGUGCUCCCUUGUUCUGUGUGAUUCGGUUUAACCACCUGGAGUUUUAGCUAUGUCGACUGCAGGGAUAAUUAAAGUCUCCGCUGCGUGCCCCGUCUUCGAUGGAACUGAAUAUCCCUACUGGAAGAAUAAGAUGCGCAUGCAUCUUGAAGCCAUUGACGUCGACCUAUGGUAUGUCGUCGAGAACGGCGUUCCAAGGCUGGAGAAGGUGUCACUGCUGCUGAUGUCAAGAAAUUCGUUCAACUGGACUCUACUGCCAAGAAUAUCAUCUGUGGUCAUCUGACCAAAGGACAGUAUGGCCGUGUGAGUGCUUUGAAGACAUCUAAGCUGGUCUGGGACUGGCUCUCCAAGGUCAAUGAAGGCGUCUCAACCCAGAGAGAUCAGAGAAUUAGUGUCCUUCGCAACCUCUUCAACCGCUUCAAGCGAAAUGACAAUGAGAAUGUCCAGCACACAUUUGACCGACUCACUGACAUCACGAAUGAGCUUCAAGCCCUCGGCGCUACUGAGAUCACCAAACAUGAAGUCGUCAAGACACUACUGAGAUCACUUGAUAGUUCGUUUGACAUCCUAGCCCUGAUGAUUCAAGAACGUCCUGAUUUCAAGACACUCGAUCCGUCUGACAUACUUGAGAGGCUCAACACACAUGAGUUUCAGCUUUCUGAGAAAAGAGAUAUCUACGGUCCAAACUAUGGGCGAACUCGUGCCUUGAAGGCAAAAGCUGUCUCCUCAUCUGAAGAAGAAUCUGACUGCAGUUCUGAUGAUCCUGAAGACAUUGGAAGGGAACUUGCUAUGCUUGUCAAGAAGUUCCCAAAAUUCACCAAGAAGAAAGGCUUCAGAAAGUCUUCCCGAUCAAGCUCAAGAAAUGAUGAAGCUUCUGCUCAUGACUACAAGAAGAAAACAUGUCACAAGUGCAAGAAACUUGGCCACUUCAUCUCUGAGUGUCCACAGUGGGACAAUGAGAACAAAAAGAAGAAGAAGAGCAAGGAAUAUGACUCUGACGACAAGAAGAAGAAGAAAUACUCAAAGCCUUCUUCCAAGUCUUCCUCAAAGUCUUCAUUACACAAGAAGAGCUCAUCUGGCAAGGCACAUGCGUUUGUUGGCAAGGAAAUGGAUUCAGAGGAGGAGUCCGCUUCUGAGGAGGCGGAUGUGGAGUCUGAGGAGGAGUCCGAUUCAGGCAUCGCAAGUCUGGCUACCGCAUACGUUGCCAAGUCCAUCUUCAACACUGAAGACAAUGACUUCAUCACCGCAAAUGACAAGGACUACUCCGCUUCUACCUACUGCUUCAUGGCACGCGGUGCCAAGGUAAACUCAUGCACUACUCACUAUCAAACAUCUAGUGACGAUGAUUCUGAGUGUGGUUCAAAACCCAGCUACAAAACACUUGCUAAAAUUGCAACUGGACAACAGAAAGCUAUGGAACAUAUUCAAAAACUGUUAGACAGAAGCGAUGACCUGUUAGGUGCUGAAAUGACUCGAUCUGAAUCCUUAAUUGAAGACAUAAAAAAUCUUCACGUUAAGUAUCAGGAACUUGAAAGUCGUCAUGAAACUCUCUCAACAACUCAUGAAAAGCUUUCCUAUGAUUAUCUUCAAAGGAAGCAAGAUCUUGAGAAAUUGAGAGCGGCUCAUGAAGAUCUUCAAAAGGAAAGCGAGUCACUUCGCGCCAAACAGAUCAGUUCCGCUCAGGAAGGAUUUGAACCACCAUGUCUUAAAUGCAUUGAGCGUGAUAAUGUUACUUCUGUUGCUGAAUGUUCUACUGCUACUGUUGUUGCAAUAUCUUCAACUGUUGAUGUGGUAACUAACCCCUCUGCUGAGGACACCACCGCUAUUGCUGAUGAGAAUGCUAGGUUGAAGACAUUGCUCGAAACAGGGAUGUACAAAAGUCUUAAAGGGCAUCAGACACUAUGUGAUGUCCUCAAAAAGCAGAUUCUGAACAGAAACCCGAGGAAAGAGGGUGUUGGGUUCGUAAGGAAAAUGAAUGUUGAUGGCUCUUACUGGAAACCUGAGCAGUACCCCAAAACCAUGUGGGUUGCUGCAAAGGAACCUUCAGCAGAUCCAUCCAAUCUAUCUGGCUUCACUUGUGCUAACCCCAUUAUCAUUGAUGAAUCCUUUGAUGCAAACUAUAUACUGUUUAAGAAUCAGAAUGGUGAAGUGUUUGCCAGGUACAUUGGUACUAACUGCAGAAAUGGACCACCUAUGAAGAAAAUCUGGGUUCCGAAAAGAUGUUUGGAGAAUCUUCCUGUGAAUGUCGUCAUGACACCUCGCGUGAAGAAGACAAAUCUCAGACCAAAGGCUUCAUACGGUCCAAAGGCUUCAUACGGACAGAGGACUCACCUGAGUCGUACUAACGCAAAUGCUUUGCAGGGAAACCAUACUCAGACAUAUGAAUAUGAGAGCGGGUCAUCAAACCGCCAUGUUCAUAAGACCAAGAACUAUUCUGCUUAUUCUUAUGAGUACUAUUGUCCGCCUGCAAGACUGUUUCCUAGGGCUCCAAAGCCAAAAUUCUCAGAUGCUGCACUUAGACUUAUUGCUUCUAAGCCACCCUUGAAGAUGUGGGUGGCUAAGAAAGCUUAACUCUCUUUUGCAGGGAAAGGUCUCCGGCAGAAAACCAAAAUCAUCUGACGCUAUUGCUGGGGACCUUAAACAUCUUGUAGGGCGCAAGAUCAAAUGCGCGAAUGGUCUUACUAUGUACUUCGUUCCUGAAUCGCUUGCUACUCUCCCUAUUAGUCCUAAUCUGGAUCUAAGCUUUCAUAACCCACUGGCUCGUCAAAUGUUUUUGCUUCACAAUGCUCUUGGUGAAGCCUAUCCCCCUAACUGCACUGUAGGGUACGACACCAGCGUCUUCAGAAUGGAUUAUUGAUAGUGGGCGUACAAAUCACAUGACUGGCAAAAGAAGCCUUCUAAUGGACUCAACCUUACGUCCAUCCGACAAGAGCCACAUCACAUUUGCUGACACUGGUAAAAGUAAGGUAUUGGGUCUAGGUAGAGUUGCAAUCUCAAGGGAUCAACACAUGGAUAAAGUCAUGCUUGUUGAAUCCCUUGGCUUCAACUUAAUGUCUGUCUCAAUGCUUUGCGAUUUGAACAUGAUCGUAAUAUUUGGAAAAUAUCGUUGCCUUGUACUAAUGGAAUCUGACAAGUCUCUAGUAUUUGAAGGGUAUCGAAAAGAUGAUUUGUACGUGGUAGAUUUCUCAGCAGGACCACAGCUUGCCGUAUGUCUUCUAGCAAAAGCUUCAGAAUGCUGGCUAUGGCAUCAGAGGCUUGGGCAUGCUGGCAUGAUGAACCUCCACACCCUUGCAAAGAAGAAGCAUGUCAUAGGCAUCGAGGGCGUCAAGUUCAAGAAAGAUCACUUAUGCGGUGCCUGUGAAGCAGGAAAGAUGACGAGGGCCAAACAUCCCUCGAAGACAAUCAUGACCACUACUCGACCCUUCAAACUGCUUCACAUGGAUCUUUUCGGUCCCACUCAUUACUCAACUCUUACUACUACUGCUUGUAUCUAUGGCUUCCUCAUUGUUGAUGAUUAUUCUAGAUAUACUUGGGUGCACAUAAUCCUUUACAAGACUGAAGUGCAGGAUGUCUUCAGACGCUUCGCAAAUCGAGCUAUGAACAAUUAUGGCGCCAAGAUAAAGCACAUCAGAAGUGACAAUGGCACUGAAUUCAAGAACACUGGCCUUGAUACAUAUCUUGAUACCUUGGGCAUCACACAUGAAUUCUCGGCCCCGUACACGCCACAGCAGAAUGGCGUCGUCGAACGCAAGAACAGAACACUCAUUGAGAUGGCCAAACGAUGCUAGAUGAAUACAAGACCCCAAGAAAAUUCUGGCCUGAAGCCAUUGACACUGCAUGCCAUACAAUCAAUCGUGUUUAUCUUCACAAGCUUCUGAACAAGACAUCUUAUGAGCUCCUUACUGGCAAGAAGCCAAAUGUCAGUUACUUCAGAGUAUUUGGCGCAAGGUGCUGGAUCAAGGACCCACAUCACACCUCAAAGUUUGCACCAAAAGCACAUGAGGGUUUUAUGCUUGGAUAUGGAAAGGAUUCACACUCCUACAGAGUCUUCAAUCUCUUUCAUUACAAAGUGGUUGAAAUAGUGGAUGUGCGGUUCGAUGAGACCAACGGUUCACAAAGAGAGCAACUGCCAAACGUGCUAGAUGAAGUUCCAUCCAGUGAAUCAAUCAAGCUAAUGGGAACUGGAGAAAUUAUACCUUCUGAAGUUCAUCCUGAAGAAGAACUUAUCAUCUCAGCACCUGAUCAACAUGAAGAUAAUGCUCAGCCUGAAGACAUUCCUUCUAACAACGACAAUGAUUAGCAAGAGCAAAAUCUUCACCCUGUACAUCCUCGCGUUGCCAAUAAAGUGCAGAUUGAAAGAAUAAUUGAUAGCAUCAAUGCACCCGGUCCACUCACUCGUUCAAGGGCAACUCAGCUAGCAAAUUUCCGUGGGCACUUCGCAUUCGUCUCAAUAACAGAACCCAAGAAAGUUGAAGAAGCAUUCAUGGAACCUGAAUGGAUUCAAGCUAUGCAAGAAGAGCUUCAACAGUUUGAGCUGAAUAAUGUAUGGGAACUGGUUAAGCGUCCUGAUCCACGGAAGCACAAUAUAAUAGGCACCAAAUGGAUAUACUGCAACAAGCAAGAUGAGCAUGGUCAAGUUGUCAGAAACAAAGCUCGUCUCGUCGCUCAAGGAUAUACUCAAGUGAAAGGCAUUGACUUCGAUGAAACAUUUGCUCCUGUGGCUAGACUUGAAGCCAUUCACAUACUGCUGGCCAAUGCAAAUCAUCAUAACAUACUUCUAUAUCAAAUGGAUGUGAAGAGUGCUUUUCUCAAUGGCAAGAUUGGAGAAGAAGUGUAUGUUGCACAACCGCCUGGCUUUGAAGAUCCAAAACAUCCUGACAUGGUAUACAAGCUCAACAAGGCACUGUAUGGCCUCAAACAAGCCCCUCGGGCCUGGUAUGACACACUCAAAUACUUCCUGAAGAGCAAAGGCUUCAUACCUGGUUCCCUAGACCCCACUCUCUUCACGAAGACAUAUGAUGGUGAACUGUUUGUGUGCCAAAUAUAUGUGGAUGACAUUAUCUUCGGCUGCACCAAUCAGAAAUACAGUGAAGAGUUUGGAUAUAUGAUGCAAGAGCAAUAUCAGAUGUCCAUGAUGGGGGAGCUGAAGUUCUUCCUCGGUCCUCAAAUACGACAACAACACAACGACAUCUUCAUAUCUCAAGAGAAGUAUCUCAAAGAUUGCCUGAAGAAGUUUGGUAUGCACGACUGCAAAGGCUUCACAACACCAAUGCCAGCCAAACAUCAUCUGGGUCCCGACGACAAUGGUAAAGAGUUCGAUCAAAAGGUAUACCGCUCCAUGAUUGGUUCUUUACUUUAUCUAUGUGCAUCUAGGCCAGAUAUUAUGCUUAGUGUUUGCAUGUGUGCUCGAUUUCAAGUGGCACCAAAGGAGUCGCAUCACUUAGCUGUGAAGCGAAUUCUUCGAUAUUUGGCUCACACCCCAACUCUAGGAUUAUGGUAACCAAAGGGCUCAGAGUUUGAUCUGGUUGGAUUCUCGAAUGCUGAUUAUGCUGGUGACAAAGUUGAUCACAAGUCUACAUCAGGCACAUGUCAUUUUCUGGGACGAUCACUUGUAUGUGGGUCUUCAAAGAAGCAGAACUGUGUAUCUCUCUCCACUGCUGAAUCUGAAUACAUUGCUGUUGGAUCUUGCUGCGCUCAGCUUCUGUGGAUGAAGCAAACACUCAAGGACUAUGGCAUUCAUCUGAAGCAAGUGCCACUUUAUUGCGACAACGAAAGCGCCAUCAAGAUUGCCAACAACCCAGUUCAGCACUCGAAGACAAAGCACAUUGAAAUUCGUCAUCACUUUCUCAGAGAUCAUGUUGUGAAGGAAGAUAUUGAUAUCAUACACGUCAACACUGAAGAGCAAUUGGCAGAUAUCUUCACCAAGCCCUUGGAUGAGAAGAGAUUUUGCAAGUUACAGUGUGAGCUGAAUAUCCUGGAAUCCUCAAAUGUCCUGUGAUCGGGCACACAUCCUAACACUUAUGCAUGCUGAUGACUUAGAUGUGCAACACACGAAGCAAAAUAUAAAGCACCCGCCCAUAUGGACCCGCUUGAAGACUAUCAACCUCAUAUGCUUCUCCCCCUUUUGUCAGUAAGGACCAAAAAGGUUCGAAGACAUAGAGCAUCUACUCGUUCCCACUAGGAGUAGGUGAAGUAGCAGGGUUGUUGGUGGUGUUUGGCGGUGCUGAAGAGCUUGGAGCAGAGUUGAAGCAUGCUGAAGGAGGUGGCGGUGAAGUAGCAUCGUCUUCAUCCUCGAUAAUUCUGGCAGUCACUGUUGCAGCAGAGGAGGAGAACUCAGAGUCUUCAAGGGAUGGAGUUCCUAGCAGCACAAAUCUUCGAGGGGGUGUGGAGUCAAACUUGAAUCGCUCGGUGAAGCCAUCCUCUUGAAGAUCAUCUUCAGAACACAUCAUCGUUAGCCCUUUCCAUGUGCGGCGACAGGUUUCAUGGGCAAUGAAAGCAUUCUUGGUGGCAAGAUUGCGAAUGCGAUUAACAUCCACCCAGAGGCUUUUCAUCUAACGCUUCAGCCAGUCAUGAUGCCUAUCCUGUUUCUGAUGAAGAGCCACAAGAAGCUCUCGGUCAUUGAGAACACAAGUGUGCUUCUUGGGUCUUGGAGCAGUUGUACUAUCAGUGGCUUCAGUGGAAGAAGGGUGUGGUGCACGUGUAGUGCCAGCCAAAGGAUACACCCGAGUGACUGCUUCAACUCCUUCAAUGUUCUGAGAGAAACUCUGAUGCUCUGCAUUCUGAAGACUUAGAGGUUCCUUGUCAGGCUCAGGAUAGAUGGCUUCAAUAGAGAUAUCCACAUCAGGUAGAAAAAUCCGAUGAUUGCGAGCAGAUGGCUGAUAUGAGAUACCGGAGUGAAGUUUGAUUAGCCGCAUUACUCAGGGGGCGUAGAACUUCAAGCCAAACAGAUCAGAGCCUGAUGCAGCAAGUUGGCGAAUGAAGAAGUCCUGUGCAUUGAAGCAUUUUCCAUGAAGAAUAUAGAAGACCAAAUUCUUCAUUGCACCCUCAAGCUUGGCAUUUGGAGAGUGCCCUUUGAUGGGCCAGAGAGUUCGCCUGAUGAUGUGAUAAAUGGUUCUUGGCAGAUACUCAAGGUCUUCAAUGAAGAACUCCGUGGAAUAGGUAGCAUCUUGGGGCAAUGGCUUCAUCAUGCUGAGCAUCUGACUCAUAUCAGGUUCAGGCUUCUGAAAGAUGCUCUCAAUAGCUUCACUAUGCAGCUGACAGCCAUGCUCGUAGAGAUCGCCAGGAGUGGGCAAGCCAGUGAGCUCAAUGAUGUCAAAGGCUUUGGCUUCGUGAUGAAUGUUUCUAGUCAUCCACUCUAGGACCCAAGUCUUCGGAUCUCUGCUAUACCUGCGGAUGUGAAGUGUGGCAUAGAAUUGGAGCAGCAACUCUUCAUUCCAAUGCUCUUGGUCAGUAACGAACGGCAGCAGUCCAACUUCCUUGAAGCAAUCCAAAGCUUCUUCCAGACAGGGCAGACCAGCUAUAGCUUCAAUGUCAAGGCGCUUGUGUGGAAAGAUGCGACCUUGGUUGUAAAGAAUGCAUGAGUAAUAGCUUCGCUGCGGAUAGCUCCAGAACCGAUCAGAUGAUAUCCUUUCCCUUGAGUAGGGGUUCCUGGAGCUAUUGAAGAAUGUGUUGUCUGCCCUGAAGCCAUUGAUGUUGAAGGAGCCAGGUGCUGAUGCAGGACCUGGGAACCUUGGCAAUCUUGGGAUUGGCUUCUGUAUCUGAGGCCUGUGCUCAAUAUGAUAGUUGAACUGGGGACCGGCAGCAGACUCAGGAAUAGAAGUGGCGGGAUCAGUGGCUUCGCUGUCUUCUAAUGCUUUUGUUGGGGAGGGCUCCACAUUAGCUUCAUUGGUGGUUGUGGCAGCCGCAAGAUUUUCAAGCACGUUCUCCUUGAGAACUGCUUCUUGGUGGGACAUGGGAGUGGCAACUUGGGGGACUUCUUCUUUCGCGGCUGAUGCAGCCGGAAUGUCUUCAGCAGAGACUUGAGGCCUUGGACCUUUGCGAAGCCUGCGCAACGCGGGCGACGCCUAUGGAGUUGGAGUGGGCUGGGCCUCAUAGUCUUCUUCCUCUUGUGGGUGAGCCGCCCAUGAAGCAUCUUGUGCAAUUGGCGUCAGUGGACGACCAAUGCUGAUGAGUUCGCUGUUCUCGAGCUGAGGAAGGACUGCACCAUCUUCUACAUUGUCAUGUUGACCAAUGUCUUCAGCAGAGAUGGGAUCAGCUGCUGGAAAGGCUUCAGCUUCACGAGCCUCUGUGGAAGCAGGCUCAUGGAUUGUCAGUUGGCGUUCAGCUUCAGGAUAGACCAUAGAAAUGGGUUCAACUAUUAAAGGCUCUGUGGGAGCAGCCCAAUCUUUCUUGGUCUUUCUCUUUUUCUUGGAGGGGGCGGUAGGAGAGGCUUCAGGAUAUUUCCUCUUCCUGGCUUCAGCCUCAGCAAUCCUCGUCUUCUUGAGCUCUGAAGCGGUUGACCGGCUUUUUGGCUUCGAGCCAGUCAGUCUAGUUGGCAAGACAAUCGGAACUGCUUCCUGCCUUGGUGCAUCGGGUUCAGCCGUAGCAGGCUUCUUCUUCUUCUUUGCGGCCAUCCGGGGGUCGAUGCCAGGACGCCCAAGGGCCUUCCGCUUCUCAGCCUUAUUGUAGGCUUGCACACAUCUGUCAGCCAGAGCCUUCAUGCGCUCACGUGAACCCUGAGCUUCUGCACGUUUCUUCAGAAAGGCUUCCUUGAGCUCGUGCAUCAUGAUCUUGAAGUUCUUCACUUCUUGCACACUGAGCUUGGCCAUAUUCUUCUUGAACUAAGCCUUUUCAUAGUCAAUCUUUUGCUUCAGUUCAACAAUGCGCUGGGCGACAACUAGCUUUGAAGCAAUGGCGCCUUGGAAGGCGACACUGAGGCCAAUGGGUAGUUGCAGAUCUUCAAAGCUGAUGUUUGGCGUGUCAAACCACUCGUCAAUGAAGUUGUGGAUGAUGGUUACAUCAAAGAGAGGCAGAUCAUUGAAGAUUUCUGCUUCUUCUUUGCCCUUGAUGAGUUGCUCAAGAGCGUCAUCAGCAAGAUCUUCAUCACUUGACAGAUCGAUGGCGUCAUUGCGCAAAAUGGCAGCAGCAGUUAGCUCUUGGCUAGUGUGAGGCAGAGGCAUCUUGACCUUCUAGGGCUUGGAGAUGCGUGAUAAGUUUUCGACUGCACACUGUCUUCAGGAGGUGCAGUUUCCAGUGGCUUUGCCCGUGAGAUUUUUGGUGAAGGGGCAAGCUUUGAAGCUUUAGGCUUCUUCAGCUUCUUUGUCUUCAGCACUACAGGCGUUUCAUCUGAUUCAGCGUCAGCUGCAAGCUCAUUCACUGCAGUUCCUUGAACUAAGAUGCGGGUGAUGAGGCCUUCAAGUUUGUAGAAAGGACUGAUGACAUUGGGUUCUGCAUCUCGUGUGCCAUCUGCCCUUGGUGCUGAGGGGCCAGGGUUGAAGUCUAACCCUAAAGUCUUCUUGUUUUGCUUCGCUGAGUUCUGGGCAAACUGGAAGUUGCGCUUGAACAGAUUGUCGUCACGACACCAUAGUAGUGACGAUGGGUGUGCAUCAGCAGGCUGUGGCCCACGGACCAUGCAGGGAUAGAAGCCUUAUUCAAUGGCUUCAUCUCUGGACCUGGGUAGAAGAUUCUUGUAUAGGAUGUCUCCCCACGGUCUCUUGAUGGCGUUUUUCUCAGCAUAUUCCCGGGUUACAAAUCGGUAUUUGAAUCAUUGUUCUGCCCAAUAUCUUCGAAUUCAUUGGAUUCGGGUCUUGCACUGAUUGUAAUCCUCUUCUGUGCUGCUAGGAACUCCAUCCCUUGAAGACUCUGAGUUCUCCUCCUCUGCUGCAACAGUGACUGCCAAAAUUAUCGAGGAUGAAGACGAUGCUACUUCACCGCCACCUCCUUCAGCACGCUUCAACUCUGCUCCAAGCUCUUCAGCACCGCCAAACACCACCAAUGACCCUGCUACUUCACCUACUCCUAGUGGGAACGAGUAGAUGCUCUAUGUCUUCGAACCUUUUUGGUCCUUACUGACAAAAGGGUGAGAAGCAUAUGAGGUUGAUAGUCUUCAAGCGGGUCCAUAUGGGCGGGUGCUUUAUAUUUUCCUUCGUGCUUACAACUCUUGUUUUGUUACAUUUGGUUCUUUGAGUUGUAACACUUAAACUCGAUGGUCGUCUGCUACUUAUCUGCCACCUUGCUUUGCGAUGAUAAAUUCCGCAUGUGCGACGAUAAAUUCCGCACUUAGAUCAUUCUGCAUACGUCCAUUUUCUAUUAUGCAUGUCAUUAUCUUCAUAUACUUUCACAUGCAUAGUGGAUUGUCAUCAUAAGUUGAAGUGGAUCUCCACAAGUACAACCUGCCAUGUGCAUUUGCAUUCCAAAAGCAAUUUACUUAUAUGCACAUCUUCAGGGGGAGCCCUUGCAAGUUAUGAAGACAAUUCCUUAUUCUUUACAAUUCCACAGAUUAUAUUCCCCGUUGAAAACUUCAACUAGUUUGUCAUCAAUCACCAAAAAGGGGGAGAUUGUAAGUGCAUCUAGUGCCACCUCUAGUUGGUUUUGGAGUAUUGACGACAAACCUAGUUGAGGGACUAAUAUGUUUGUGAGAAUUGCAGGAUAACACAGGUAGAAGUCCCUCAUUGAUUCGGUUUUCCUACCGGAGAUGACCCCUAAAAAUGUAUGAAGACAUUGAAGUCAAAGGUGGUAUAUGAAGAUAUUCACAUUGAAGACUAUGACAAGAGAAGACACCACAUGAAGCCUAUGAAGCUCGAAGACUCAGAUCUUUCGUAGUUCUUUUUCUUUUGUGUUGAGUCAUAGGAACCAAUGUACUGUUAAGUGGGGUCCAAGAGAACCAGUCAGAAUGACUGAAGUGAUGCCUAACCAUAACGUAUGUCUUCGAGUGAAGACUAUGAGAGCGAAACUUGUCCAGAGUCGGACAAGUCAGCUUUGCUUGUAGCCCAAGUAAAGUUGCCGUGUGAGUUUGAAAUCUAACCGUUGGAACACGUGUCAGUUCCUUAGUGACCCAGGGUCAUUUCGGACAAAUCAGGUCGGGUUGCCAAGUGGCUAUAAAUAGCCCACCCCCUACAACCAUAAACAGUUGGCUCCUCAGAUUCAGAGUACGGCUUUUGUCGUUUGAGAGCAACCCACCUCGAAGCCUUUGAGAGAGAAUUCCUUGCGAGGAUAAAGCCCUAACCACCCAGAGCCAAAGAGAAUUAGGCAUCACUUAAGUCUUCUUGACUGUGUGAUCUGAAGACUUAUUACACUUGAGGACUGUGCAUCCUCCAGCCGGUUAGGCGUCGCGUUCUGAGUAUCCAAGAGACAUUGUGGAUUGCCGGUGAACAAAGUCUGUGAAGGUUUGGGAGUCUACCUUGAAGACUUACCAGAGUGAUUGGGCGAGGUCUGUGUGACCUUAGCUCAAGGGGAAUACGGUGAGGACUGGGUGUCCUGAGCUGCGUGUUCAGGACUGGGUGUCCGGGACUGUGUGUCCUAAGGUUUAAAUACCUAGCCGCCCUAACCAGACAUACAGUUGUCACAGCAACUGGAACUGGUCCAACAAAUCAUUGUCUUCAAUGAGUCACUGGUUUCAUCUUCCCUUUACUUACUGUUACUCCUUGUGAAGUCAUUGUAUGUUUGCACUAUCUUUUGUCUUCACUGAGUGACUGUGUGUUUUGUCUGGCUUCAUAAUAUCCUCCUACCUGAUCCGUACUACAUUGCUGCUAUUAGUCAUUGUGCUUUCACUCUAUUGAAUACUUGACUAUGGCCUGCCUAGUGUAGUCUACCUUUCGCUGCAGGGUAUUAGGUUUAUUUGUAUCGUUUGUCUUCAUAACUCCAACGUUUUGAAGACUUUCAUAAAAAUCGCCUAUUCACCCCCCUCUAGUCGAUAUAACGCACUUUCAAGGAUUCUUUCUUCGGAGUCGGCUUCGGAGUCGAGGGAGAUCCAAUCGAGGAGGACGCGGCCGUCGCGGACGUUGCGGGUGCGCCGGCGGGACGUCUGGCGACGGUGCAGGGGACGCCCGCCGGCUUGGACAUCCGGCGGGGCACUAGAGGAGGAGGAAAAAACGACGGUCGGGACCAGGACGAAGGAGAAAUCGGCGGCGAAGGGGGCGAGGGCGCUGGCGAGCUCGGCGGAGGGGUGCGGCGCUUGAGCGGGGUGGAAUCCGACGGCGUCUAUGAAGCCGAGGAGGGGAGGCUGGUGCAGCCCGCGGAAGCAGCGGCGAAAGGCGCGGCCUUUAAUGACGCGGCGGAAGGUGGUGAAGGCGGUGAAGGCGAGGGCGAGCGCGUUGAGGGUGGGCAGGCGGAGGAAGAUCUCCUCCAGGAGCUCGUCUAGGACGGGGAUGGAGGCCGCCGGCGGCGCCGGCGGGUCCAUGGCGGCCGGGGUGGAGGAAGGGGAAAAGAAUUCUAUGAGACCAGGUCUCACGCGAGACCCAUCCUGAUGAAUGACAUGUGGCAUUCACAAAUCACAAAGUAUCCCCCACCCCCUACAUAAAAUCAGGGGGGAGAGAGAUUAGAUGCUUUGUGAUUUGUGAAUGCCACGUGUCAUCCAUCAGGAUGGGUCUCACCUGCUAAUCAUGAGACCUGGUUUCAUAUAAUUUUUUCCGGAGGAAGGGGAUCGAGGGUUUGGAUUGGGGAUAAAUCUUCGGCUGGGAGUGGGAGAGUGACUUUUUUUCUUUUGUGAACGAUAGAGAGGGGUCGAGAAGGACCCAGAUGCUCACGUGGUGGUACGUACUACUAGCAGAUUACAAAAAGUGCAAAAAACUAAAUAUAAAUACCAAACCGGUCCCCGACUUUCACAUAGAGGACCUUAACGACCGCAUUGAAAACACCACCGGGUCCCCAGAUUAUUUCUUUCUCUCAUAUAUGUAAUAUUGUCGUCGCUGGGGACUGCACCACUUGGACGGUGAGUCCUCCUCCAUGAAACCUUGGUCGCAGACUCCUUGAAGAUGAAACAUUGCCUCCCUUUUCGCUCCUUGCUCGGGAGGUAGAAGAAUAGCCGCCCCUCGGCCAUCGGAUUCGGAGGUAUGGUGGAGCCGGCAGGCAGCCAGGCGUCAUGGCUGGCGUUGUAGCCACUCCCAGCAGCCACCGGGUUCAGGCACGAACCCGAUCUCGACCUCCAUCUCUUCCCCGCUUCAACUACACCACAUCAAUGGCCUUCGAUGCGAGAAAGAGAACGGAGUACCUCAAGAGCAGUGAUCCAGGCGAGCUUAUUUGUAGAGUUACCUACGAUGAGCUCCACUGUAGUAGCCGGCUUCCUAUCAGCGGCCACAUGAUCUCCCCAGGGAGGUCGUCUCGGCCAUCGAGGUCAUCGGCAGCUCAAAUCGUGUCGGGGCUUUGAGAGUUUGGUGGCUAGGAUACUCAUAGGUGAGGCUCAUCAAUCGGGCCACAAACACCCAUUUGGGCCCCGAAGCAGUGAGGAUAGAAGAUGGCACGAAGCCACCUCAAUUGUUCCCAUUAAAAAAAUGCAACCUAGCUCGAUCCCCAAUUCUCAUGGCUGCGUCGGCGCCGGCCGAGCCACUGGUCCUGCGACUGUCCCUCCAUGCCGCCAUCCUCCUCCACCAACACCGACCCCAUCACCCCCCUACAAGCCAAGGUAGCCGCCCAAGCAUCGUCGAAGAGGUAGUAGGCACCGCCGGAUGAUGGAGGCAAGAAGAAGAGGAAGGAGAGGGCGACGCGGGCCACGCUCACGCCAGACCCCGCAGCUUCAGCUUCAUACUCCGCUACAUCCCCGGCCUUCAAACUCCGUGCCCGGCCUGACACCGAGCUGCAUGUGCUUGUCACAAAGAACGAUGAUUCCUCUUCGAUUAGGUAAUCAAUUUGUAGGCACUUUUCUGUUACUUGUUGAUGUUGCCCUUGUAGUGAAAUCGAGUCACCUAAUAAAAUAUGCAAAACAGAAAAUGGGAAAAUAAAUGCCUUGGAAUGUGAAAUGCAUUCAUUUUCUUUGCAUCGAUUGUGAUCCGCAAUACUAUCGAGUAGUUUACUGCAUAUAUGGCAUGUCAAGUCAAAUAUUCAGAGAUAUGCUUGUAGCUUGCAAGAAAAAUUGAGUGAAUCUUAUCACAGCCGUUCUUUGUGGCCAAAUUUUUGUUAGGAUUGGCGGUGCUUUCUCGAACCUUAACAUAAACCACCUUAUCCUCACUCAGAUUGUUGUGUGCAGUUACUGAAGGAAAUAUGUCGUAGAGACAAUAAUAAAGUUAUUAUUUAUUUCCUUAUAUCAUGGUAAAUGUUUAUUAUUCAUGCUAGAAUUGUAUUAACCGGAAACAUAAUACAUGUGUGAAUACACAGACAAACAGUAUGUCACUAGUAUACCUCUACUUGACUAGCUCGUUGAAUCAAAGAUGGUUAAGUUUCCUAGCCAUAGACAUGAGUUGUCAUUUGAUUAACGGGGUCACAUCAUUAGAAAAUGAUGUGAUUGACUUGACCCAUUCCGUUAGCAUAGCACUUGAUCGUUUAGUUUGUUGCUAUUGCUUUCUUCAUGACUUAUAUAUGUUCUUAUGACUAUGAGAUUAUGCAACUCCCGUUUACUGGAGGAACACUUUGUGUGCUACCAAACGUCACAACGUAACUGGGUGAUUAUAAAGGUGCUCUACAGGUGUCUUCAAAGGUACUUGUUGGGUUGGCGUAUUUCGAGAUUAGGAUUUGUCACUCUGAUUGUCGGAGAGGUAUCUCUGGGCCCACUCGGUAAUGCACAUCACUAUAAGCCUUGCAAGCAUUUCAACUAAUGAGUUAGUUGCCGGAUGAUGUGUUACGGAACGAGUAAAGAGACUUGCCGGUAACGAGAUUGAACUAGGUAUUGAGGUACCGAUGAUCGAAUCUCGGGCAAGUAACAUACCAAUGACAAAGGGAACAACAUAUGUUGUUAUGCGGUUUGACCGAUAAAGAUCUUCGUAGAAUAUGUGGGAGCCAAUAUGAGCAUCCAUGUUCCUCUAUUGGUUAUUGACCGGAGACGUGUCUCGGUCAUGUCUACAUAGUUCUCGAACCCGUAGGGUCCGCACGCUUAACGUUUCGAUGAUAGUUACAUUAUGAGUUUAUGUGUUUUGAUGUACCGAAGGAGUUCGGAGUCCCAGAUGAGAUCGGGGACAUGACGAGGAGUCUCGAAAUGGUCGAGACGUAAAGAUCGAUAUAUUGGACGACUAUAUUCGGACAUCGGAAAUGUUCCGAGUGAUUCGGGUAUUUAUUAGAGUACCGGAGAGUUAUGGGAAUUCUCCGGGGAGUAUAUGGGCCUUAUUGGGCCAUACGGAAAUAGAGGAGAGAGGCCAAAAGGAAGGAGGCGCGCGCCCCCCCUCUGGUCCGAAUUGAACAAGGGGUGCAACCCCCUUUUCCUUCUUCCUCUCCUCCUGUUUCCUUCUCUCCUACUCCAACAAGGAAAGGAGGAGUCCUACUCCCGGUGGGAGUAGGAUUCCCCCCUUGGUGCGCCCUCCUCCUAGGCCGGCCGCCUUCCUCCUUGCUCCUUUAUAUACGGGGGCAGGGGGGCACCCCAUAGACACAACAAUUGAUCAUUGAUUUCUUAGCCGUGUGCGGUGCCCCCCUCCACCAUAAUCCUCGAUAAUAUUGUAGCGGUGCUUAGGAGAAGCCCUGCGACGGUAGAACAUCAAGAUCGUCAUCACGCCGUUGUGUUCACAGAACUCUUCUACGACAUUCUGCUGGAUCAGAAUCUGGGGAUCGUCAUCGAGCUGAACGUGUGCUAGAACUCGGAGGUGCCGUAGUUUCGGUGCUUGAUCGGUCGGGCCGUGAAGACGUACGACUACAUCAACCGCGUUGUUAUAACACUUCCGCUUUCGGUUUACGAGGGUACGUGGACAACACUCUCCCCUCUCGUUGCUAUGCAUCACCAUGAUCUUGCGUGUGCGUAGGAAAUAUUUUUGAAAUUACUACGUUCCCCAACAGUUAGGUGAUCGAUUCUUGCAGAUGUUGGUUGCCGCCCUUUCACGUUUUUCAUUAUAGUUGUAUUGGGAUGAACUGUUCAAUUCCUGCAAGUCAACAUGAUAUGUGGACUCUUUUGUCCGCACAAAUGAGUAAGAACAAAAAAUAUUUGGAAAGUAGUACGUCUAUGGAUUUAUACAGAACUGCAUGUUUCACGUCAAAAUUCAAAAUAUGAACACAGACUAAAACCUGCCUACUAUUGCUUAAAUUACACACGUGCUUCUUCUGACCGCUUUUGGCUGCCUAAUUUGAAGUUUGUGUCUUGCUGUCAGGUGGAGGACCUUGGCGAUCUUCUCAAGCUUUACGAGGACUGGCACCCUCACUUGAUCCCUUAUACUCCUUCCGUAAAGAAACAUAAGAGCGUUUAGAUCACUAAAGUACUCAUUAGAGCAGUUUGCGUGCAAGGUUGAGAAAGUUGGGGCCAACAUCCGCGUUAGGCUAAGUUUCCUUCUUCCUUUCAGGGGUUCCUUCCAUUUUGUAAUGUGUGAUUGAUUAGUCUUUAUAGUAUGGUCAACUGAACUGAAACAUUGUUCUUAUUUCUUUCAGAGAUUCAUUUCUGAACUGAAACAUUGUCCUUAUUUCUUUCAGAGAUGGAUUUCUGAACUGACACGAGGUUGCUAGAGGGGGACAUCCUACAUAACUGCAUGAACCGCCAGUGGAAGAAGAGUCAUACCAGAGGGAGAACAUUAUCUGAGAACUUUGUUUUCUUUACAGUGCACACGAAGUAAAUCUUUAGGCAUUUUAUUUAGAAGUGCACGUUCCUGGACCCCCAAUCUGUAUUUCAAACAUUGCAAUUGUAGCAAUUGUUCAUUAUUAUCCGUUGCAGAUGGAACCACACAGGAAGACCCGAUCCUUGGGACUGAACCUCCGUCGAUGGACUAUCAUGUCAUGGAGUUUGUGCAAGAAGAUAUAGAUCCACCAAUGGUGGGAAGUAACGACACGGACACCAUGCAAGAUGAUUUGCUGGCCGAAAUCUACCAAAACAAAUCUGACGUAAGUCAUACUGCACCAUGAUUAAUUAACUUGACAUAGCCGGCUCUAAGUAAACAUGCAUGUAUGUAUGAUGUCAUUCAUCUUCAUCUCAUCCAUGAAACACAAUGGAAGAUGCCUAAAAGACCGUGCGUAGACAUUCUGUGCACAUUGUUUGGACUUUGUAGGUCAAUAAAUGUUUUGCGAACCUGUGAUGUUCUGUUCACACAAUAGGAACCUGGAAUCAGACCUACUGAGGUUGGGGCACGCAUGGAGGCUAACCUGCUCAUUGCUCAAGGCUUUGAACAGGCGGCAGCACAGCGUGCUCGGGGUCCCAGUUGCAGCCUGCUACUGUAACUAAAACGUACUCUUUUCGUCCCAAAAUAAGUGACUCAACUUUGUAUUAAAUUUAGUGGGAGGUAGGAGCAAAGCAUGCAGGAUCCGAGCCACUUUGCCAUGGAUGUUAGGCUGCGCUUUCUUGAAGUGUUUGUUGAACCAGAGCUGGAAAAGGGAUGAAGCAUUUUUGUUCUCCUUGAUGAAGUUGGUGAUUUCUGUUUUGUUUGCUACAAGAGUUACUGGAAGCUGGUGCAGGUUUUGACCUUUACGGCCUGCUGUUGCUCUUGAUUGCGGCGUGUUACAGUAUAGCAUGAAAAACAAGAUGCUGGUGUUAUAUACCGUGGAAUAUCUUGUUACCCAAGGAGACACCAAUACGAAUGCAAAUGCACUCAUUUUCUUGUUUUUUACCCGGGAUUGCCGCACAUUGCCGAGGAGAUCGUCUGGAUGUGCAGGACAAUGGGAGAGAGCACCUUACCCACCAGUGCAUGCUCCGGAUCCACCAGUAUCGAUCAUCCUCAAUUCCUCAUCAAGUCAUCAUCCAGUAUCAGAGGUUGCGAUUCCACGGCCAUGAGACAUAGCCGCUCACAUAGUCACAAAAUAUUUCACGCCGGCACUGCUCGAUUGCACCGGCGACUCCCCAACCCUAAUCUCGGGAAGUCGAUCGGGGCCUCGUAGGGCCGCCGUGCACCCCCACAGCCAGGCUGGGAGGGAUGGUAGAUCGCCGUUGCCUCAUGUCCCAUCGUCCAGACAUGCGCGCAAAAGUAGGAUCACGACCGAUCACCACCAAAGGUGGGCAGCCAUGCAGCUCUGAUCUAGUACCGAGAGAGGAGGAUCAGAUGAGGGAACCAGCCAAUCCUUCUACGCUUGACCGAAUAUACCAAAUACUAGUAUACAUUAUUAAUUUCAUCAUAAAUUUUAUUUUAUAAAACUAUAUUUACUGCUUUUGAUAAAUAAUAGAGGGCAUUUGGUCUAGUGGUAGGAUUCUCGCUUAGGGUGCGAGAGGUCCCGAGUUCAAUUCUCGGAAUGCCCCUCUUUUUUCUUUUUUUUUAAACAUUUUCCUUUUACCGUUUUACCAUGUAUAUCUAGUAGAACUUCUUUCAUGUAGCCACCGAAGUAUGACAUGAAAACCAAUCGAUCUGUGCGAAGUAGCAUCGUACCUGUUAGAUGUAUAUAGUCCAUUGUGUGCAUCUCCAUUAUAUAAGGAGCUUUUCUGUACUUUACCACAUCUGUAUAUGUAUUGGUCAUUGGCCCUCAGUAAAGUUUAGUUGCUCAUUCCUAACAUGGUAUCAAAUGCUUAGGUUCCCCUCGCUCUCCUGCACGCUGCAACUCCGUACUCCUCUGCUCGAUUCUGGCCGCCGCCGUCGCUCUCAUCCCGUCCGGAUCCGCUGCUCCGGCUGUCCCGUUCGGCCUCGUCUCCCCCGUCUGACGUAUCUUGGCCCGCGCCAAGGCAGCGCUUCUCCAUCCCCCGAGUGAGCAAGCUCCUGCCGGCUGGCCGCGGGAGCGCCUCCUCUGCUCAAUCCCACCUCGGGAGCGCCUCCUCUGCUCGCUCCCGUCUGGCUCGCGCGCUCCUCUUCACCUCGCGCAGUGCCUGUGCGCUCCUCGUCCUCUCGCUUCGGGCCGCGUGCUCGUCCUCCUCUUAAGCCGGGCUGCGCGUUCCCCGUUCGCCUGGCUGCAUCGGGGAGUCGUCCCUGUCUCUCGCGCUUCCUGGCCGCGGCCGCUUUCUGUGGCCUCGCUCGCUUCCUGGCUUGAGAUCCCCUCGAUCUAGAUCGAGUUCAGGAUCCGUUGACCAAAAAAAUAAAGACAGCAAGAUAUCUCAGUAUGUCAUCUUCGGGCUAUGUGGAUGUUCCUCGCUGCUCGGUGAUCUUUGAUGGCACCAACUAUGCUGAGUUUAUGGGCUUCAUGCGUAUCCAUAUGCGCGGUCUUCUGCUGUGGGGCGUACUCUCUGGCGAGGUAGCUUGUCCGCCCUGUCCCGUUGCUCUCGGUGGCUCCUGUUCCGCCGGUUCCGCCGGUGCUUGCUGCUGAUGCCUCUCAGGCUGAUCAUGAUGCAGCCAAGGCCCUUGAUGACACCGCAGUUGAUGCUUAUGAUCAGCAGGUAUCUGCAUAUUCUGAUCCUCUUUCUGUCUAUCGGGAUGAUCUGUCUGCUUACACUCAGUGGUGCAAUGAUGAUGCUCGAGCUGUUGCCGUUCUCACUGCGAGUGUCCUUCCUCAGUUUGCUUCCAAGUUCAUGGGCCUUGGUACUGUUGCAGCGAUGUGGUCCUACCUCUGUCAGCGCUAUCAGCCCUCUGGCGAUGCCCUAUACCUCUCUGUGGUGCGUCAGGAGCAUGCUCUCCAGCAGGGUGAUUCGCCUGUUGAUGAGUUCUACUCACAGUGUUCUGCCAUCUGGCGUCAGCUUGACUCACUAAGGACAGUUGUUUGUGGAACCUGCCGUUGUUGUCAGACUACGCGGUCUAACUUGGAGUUUCAGCGGGUCCAUGAGUUUUUAUCUCGUCUCCGCUCUGAGUUUGAGCCCAGACGUGCUCACUUGCUUGCUCGUGGUCGUGUUCCUAUCUCGGAGGUGCUUGCCGAGCUUCGUGCUGAGGAGACUCGCCUUCGCUCUGCUGGUCUGCUGGUGGUCCCGUCUGUAUUGGCUGCUCGGGCUCCAGUGUCGUCCGCUCGGCUCACUGCUCCCCCGCUCCUACCCACGCCUUCAGGGGGGUCGUCCUGCUUAUGCUGAGAAGGGCCGGUCGCGACGUGACACCUUCUGCGGCUACUGCUCUCGGCCAGGUCAUCCCGAGUCUGAUUCCCGUGAGAAGAAGCGAGACCAGAGGCGCUCCUCUUCCAGUGGGACUCCUGGAUCUUUCUCGACUGCGUCACUCACCGGCCAGGACAUUGUGAGGCUCAAGCGUCUCUUGGCUUCCUCAGGCUCUUUGUCGACUGGUUUCGCUGCUGCUGUAACUGUAUCUACCUCUCCAUCACCGCAGGCACCUACUCAGUCAGGUACAUCUUCGUGGGUUCUGGAUUCUGGAGCCUCCUUUCAUGUCUUCUAAUUCCUCUGUGCUGUCUUCCCUUCGACCUCUUGAUUCGCCCGUUCUUACUGCCGAUGGCACACCUCUUCCUGUUACUAGUUGUGGUCUUCUUUUCACUCCAUCUUUUUCUGUUCCUAGUCUUUCAUAUGUUCCUCGCCUUACCAUGAAUCUUUUUUCUGCUGCCCAACUUACUGAUUCUGGUUGUCGUGUCAUUCUUGAUAUCGACUCUUGCUCCAUUCAGGAUCGUCGCACCAAGACUUUGGUUGGUGCUGGCCCCCGGCGCCGUGAGUCCGAGGGCCUUUGGGAGGUUGACUGGCUUUGUGUUCCUUCCGCUGUCACCACUUCUGUCAGCUCCCAUGCUCUUGCUGCCUCUUCGACUGCGUCCUUCCAGCAGUGGCAUCAUCGCCUUGGUCACAUCUGUGGCUCUCGCUUGUCUUCUUUAGUUCGUCAGGGCCUCUUAGGGUCUGUAUCUGGAGAUGUCUCCUUACAUUGUAAUGGUUGCAGAUUGGGCAAACAGACGCAGUUACCUUAUCCUACUAGUGAGUCUGUAUCUCAGCGUCCUUUUGACUUAGUUCAUUCUGAUGUCUGGGGUCCUGCUCCCUUUGAUUCGAAGUGUGGUCAUCGUUACUAUGUUUUGUUUAUUGAUGAUUUCUCUCGCUACACUUGGCUCUACUUCAUGAAAUCUCGUAGCGAGAUUCUCCCUAUAUACAAACGUUUUGCUGCCAUGGUUCACACCCAGUUUGCCACGCCCAUUCGUAUUUUUCAUGCUGACUCCGCUGGAGAGUAUAUCUCUCAGCUGUUGCGUGGUUUUCUCGCGGAACAGGGUACUCUUGCCCAAUUCUCAUGUCCUGGCGCUCAUGCUCAAAAUGGCGUUGCAGAACGAAAGCAUCAUCAUUUGCUUAAGAUGGCUCGUGCGCUGAUGAUUGCUGCUUCCCUUCCACCCCAUUUUUGGGCUGAGUCUGUUUCUGAAUCCACCAAUCUUAUCAACAUUCAGCCAUCGACUGCUCUGUAGGGUGGUAUUCCUCUAGAGUGUCUCACUGGUUGCUCUCCUGACUACUCAGCUCUUCGUAUGUUUGGAUGUGUGUGCUAUGUUCUUCUUGCCCCUCGAGAACGCACCAAACUGACUUCUCAGUCGGUUGAGUGUGUUUUCCUUGGCUACAGUGAUGAGCACAAGGGCUAUCGAUGUCGGGAUCCAGUGGGUCGUCGUUUGUGCAUCUCACGUGAUGUGACAUUUGAUGAGUCUCGUUCUUACUACCCACAUCCUUCUUCCUCGAGUUUGUCUGUGGACGACAUUUCUUUUCUUCUUCUUCUUCCCAAUACACCCUGCUAUGUGCCUCAUGUGUCACCUCCUCCUCUGGCACCUCUCAUUCCUUCUCACUCACCAUCGCCACCAUCCUCCUCCUCCACCUCUCCGCCAUCAUCUCCCGUUCGUCACCCUCUCUCACUGUUUCCUCUUCACUAUACUCGUCGCUCUCGUACUGAGGAUGUCUCCUCUGACGAGCCUUCCACCUCUGGUUCACCUCUAACACCCCCACGGUUCACAACCUCCGUGCUCGGCCUCGCCCCCCGCCUGAUCGCUACUCCCCUGAUCGGUACGGUCUCUCUGCUAUUGCCGAGCCCACUUCCUAUCGGACUGCCCUGACUCAGCCUGAAUGGCAGCUUGCGAUGGCCGAAGAACUUGCUGCCCUUGAGCGCUCUGGCAUCUGGGAUCUGGUUCCCCUUCCUUCCGGUGUCCGUCCUAUCACCUGCAAGUGGGUCUACAAGAUUAAGACUCGCUCCGAUGGUUCUCUUGAGCGCUACAAAGCUCGUCAUGUGGCCCGUGGUUUCCAGCAGGAGCAGGGGCGCGAUUAUGAUGAGACAUUUGCUCAUGUGGCUCACAUGACCACUGUCCGCACUCUUCUUGUUGUGGCUUCUGUUCGUCAGUGGUCUAUCUCUCAACUUGAUGUCCAGAACGCUUUUCUCAAUGGCGAGUUGCGUGAGGAGGUUUAUAUGCAGCCACCACCGGGGUACUAUGCCCCUGAUGGUAUGGUAUGUAGACUUCGGCGCUCCCUCUAUGGUCUUAAACAGCCCCCUCGCGCCUGGUUUGAGCGCUUUGCCUCUGUCACUACUAGAAAAAGGGCUAUAGAUGGGAUUGGCACUAAUGGCGCACCACCUUCUGAUGCGCCAUUAGUGUUGAAACUACUAAUGGCGCACCUGGCCCACGGUGCGCCAUUAGUAUCAAAUUUUUUUUGAACUAGUGCGCCUGUCCAAACAUACUAAUGGUGCAUCCAUAGGAAGUGCGCCAUUACUAGUUGUAACUAGUAAUGGCGCACCAGUCAGAAAGUGCGCCACUAAUGUUGUUUUUAUUAUUAUUAUUUUUAUUCCUUUUUCUGCAAAACUACUAAUGGCGCACUCACCCGCGGUGCGCCAUUACUAGUUUAAACUAGUAAUGGCGCACCGUGUGGGAGUGCGCCAUUAGUAUCUUUUUUUUUGCAAAACUACUAAUGGCGCACCACCAGGUGGUGCGCCAUUAGUAGCCUUGAUUACUAAUGGCGCAUUUCUGGUUGGUGCGCCAUUAGUAAGUGGGCAGCAACAAGAUAUUUUGGACAGCCUCUCCUCCCACACUCACUUUCUCCCCACUUUAUUCUCUCCACCGCCUCCUCCUUGUCUCGGGUGCCUCCUCUUUUUUACCUCAUUUCCACCAUAGAUUCAUUCAAAUUAAGUGGUUAAGUUACCUUGUUUUGGUAGGUAAGUAAGGGGGGAAGCUAUAUUUAUGUUGUUCUCCCUACAACAAUGUGCACAUGCGCUUUUUAUGGCCUAGCUAGAUCUAUGUAUGUUCGUGGUGUUGCAUAUGUUUGUGGUGUUGCAUAUGUGUUUGUGUUUGGAGGUGUACCGGUAUUUGAAAUGCGAUAGUUGCCAAUAUUUUGCCGGAAUGUUGAUUCAUUUCCGUUUCGGCGAGAAUUUUGGCAUUAAGCAUUCUUUUUGGUCCUAUUUUUAGGGAAAGUCAUGCCAAAUUUUUUCUUGGUUCUAAAGUAUCGUUUUGCUCUACCCCGCAGGCGACCAUGGUCCGCAUGAUGAUCGAAGGCAUCGUGAAUAGGUUUUUGAGGUCCGCGAAGGCCGAGAUGCUUCAAAAGAACGAGACGGAGAUAAGAUGUCCGUGUCGAAGAUGUAGGCUGAAGAGCCUUAUUGCGGACCCGGAUUCCGAGCAGGUGCGGGACCACCUGCUCUUGCGUGGUUUCAUGGAUGGCUAUCGGUGGCAAGGUGAUGAAGAUGACUACGAAGUCGUCCAUGGGGGCCGGGCAAGAAAUGAGGAAGGGCAGCAAGACAACCACCGCGGCUCGGGCGGGCGAGAAGACGAAGAAUCCCCAGGAGAUAAUCACGACGGUGAUGAUGUACACAGUCAUCAUGUAGAAGAUGCAGGACAUGAUGAUGAUGCCGGCGGAGCAGACGACGCUGGACCAUCGAUGGGCUGGGUGCAGGACCCUCAUAUUCAAGAGCUGCUUCUCAAGCAGACGGAUAACGCAAGAGCUGCCGCCCGAGAGAAAGCCAAGAUGGAUCAACUUGAGUUAGAAGCGGUUACUCCAUUGUAUGAAGGAUGCAGGCCCGAGGAUACCCGCCUAAAAGUAACGCUCAUGGCUCUGGAGAUGAAGGUAAAACACAAAAUGACCGACGCAUGCUUCGACGAGAACAUGUCAUUCUGGCACGAACGUCUUCCCAAGGGGAACAAGUGCCCGACCACUUCGGAGGAGGCGAAGAAAAUCGUGUGUCCUCUGGAUUUACCGCACGUGAAAUACCAUGUGUGCAUGAACAAUUGCAUCAUUUAUCGGGACGAGCAUGCGGAGUCUACCAUAUGUCCGGUGUGCGGUGUCACUCGAUACAAGAAGAGGAAGAAAGCUCCUCGAAAAGUGGUGUGGUACUUUCCGAUCACUCCUCGUCUGCAGCGGUAUUUCGCGGACCCUAAGGUAGCAAAGCUCCUGCGUUGGCACGCGGAUAGGGAGGAGAAGAAGCGAGAAGAUGACGCAAAUGAUCCGGAGAUAGAUAAAAAAUACAAGAUGCUGAGUCACCCUAAGGAUGCGAGCCAGUGGCAAGCGUUGAACUUCAAAUACCCAGAAUUUGGGAACGAUCCAAGGAACAUCGUGCUGGGCGCGAGCACCGAUGGAGUCAAUCCGUUUGGCAGCCAGAGAAGCACACAUAGCACCUGGCUUGUGUUUGUGUGGAUGUACAACCUUCCCCCCUGGUUGUGCAUGAAGAGGAAGUACAUUCACCUGAGUAUGCUAAUUGAAGGGCCGAAACAACCAGGAAACGACAUCAAUCUGUAUCUGGGGCUGCUGAAAGAGGAGCUUGACACGCUGUGGAAAACGCCAGCCAAUACGUGGGACGCCGCAAAGAAAGAAUAUUUCCCUAUGAGAGCCGCACUGCUCACGACGGUGCACGACUAUCUCGGUUACGGAUAUCUUGCGGGGCAGGUAGUCCACGGAUUUUCUGGAUGCGUAAGGUGCAUGGAUGACACAAUGUAUCGCCAGCUAGAUAGAGAUCCCGGGUCUUCGAAAACCGUGUUCAUGGGACAUCGAAGGUGGCUUCGCGAUGAUGACCCGUGGAGGAAAUGCAAGGAUCUGUUCGAUGGUGAAACCGAACCCCGAAAACGCCCGUGUACGAGGAGCGGCAAGGAAAUAGACAAGCUAUUGAAAAAUUGGAAAGACCGCCCACUGCCGGGAAAGAAGCAAAAGGCGCCAGAGCCGAGAAAGAAGCGAAAGGCGCCAGAGCCGCUGCUGAAGGUAUGGAAAACGAGGUCUGUUUUCUGGGACUUGCCGUACUGGAAGAUCCACCGUGUGCCUCACAGCCUUGAUGUCAUGCAUAUCACGAAGAACGUGUGCGAGAGUCUGCUUGGUACCCUGCUCAACAUGCCAGAGAGGACCAAAGAUGGGCCGAAAGCAAGGGCAGACUUGAAGUCAAUGGGCAUCAGGCAGGAGCUUCACGCUAUAUAUGAUGAUGAUGCUGAUGCUGAUGAUGAUGAUGAGGCGAAGCAGGACACAGAAAGUCGUCGCAACGGCAAAAAGGCCAAGAAGACCGGAAAUGACUACCCUCCCGCGUGCUUCACUCUAAGUCAGGAGGAGAUCGAUCAGUUUUUCACCUGCCUGCUAGGAGUAAAACUUCCUUACGGUUACGCGGGGAAGAUAAGCAGAUACCUAGACCCAGCGAAGCAGAAGUUCAGCGGGAUGAAGUCUCACGACUGUCACGUGCUGAUGACGCAGAUACUUCCAGUUGCAAUCCGUGGGAUCAUGGACGCGCACGUCCGUGAAACGCUAUUUGGCCUAUGCAACUUCUUCGAUGUCAUCUCUCGGAAGUCGAUUGGCGUGAGGCAACUCAGAAGGCGACAGGAAGAGAUCGUGGUGAUACUAUGCGAGCUUGAGAUGUACUUCCCGCCCGCAUUCUUCGACGUUAUGGUGCAUCUGCUGGUCCAUAUAGUGGAGCAUAUCAUCCAACUCGGACCGACGUUCCUGCACAGCAUGAUGCCGUUUGAAAGGAUGAAUGGUGUCAUCAAAGGAUACGUUCGCAACAUGUCACGUCCAGAAGGAAGCAUAGCCAGGGGCUUUCUGACCGAAGAGUGCAUCUCCUACUGCACGAAUUAUCUAGGCAUCGAGAACCCCGUUGGUCUGCCCAUCAACAGGCACCUCGGCAGGCUCGCUGGAUGGGGUCACCGUGAGGGUCGCCGCGAAAUGCAUGUCGACUUCGAGGGUCGACUCGCCGACUUUGAAAGAGCAAACCUAGUCGCGCUACAACACAUAGACAUGGUCGAUCCUUGGGUGGUAGAGCACAAAACCUUUAUUAAGAAGACGUACAAUGACCGAGGCCAACAGAGGACGGACGGAGAUAUACUCAAAGAGCACAACUCAUGUUUCACGCGUUGGUUCAAGCAGAAGCUUCUGUCGUACCCUUUACAUGAGGAUUCUUCCGCGGAAGAACAACUCAUAUUCGCCUUGUCACAGGGCGCCGAGCACAACCUGAUGACCUAUGAGGCAUACGAUAUCAACGGCUACAUAUUCUACACCGAGGCCAAGGACAUGAAGAGCGAUGGUUAUCAGAACUCCGGGGUAACGAUGGAAUCCUACACCGGUAACGACAAGGACAGAUACUACGGAAGGAUCGAGGAGAUCUGGGAGCUGAGCUACGCUGGAGAGAAGGUCCCGAUGUUCCAUGUCAGAUGGGCCAAGAACGUCAUAAAAGAAGACCGGUAUUUCACCACCAUGGUUAUACUCGAAGCCAAAUCCAAGACCGCGGGCGAAAACGUCACCGCGAAAAAUGAGCCAUGGGUACUGGCUUCCCAAGUGGACCAAUGCUUCUUCAUUACCGACCCGCCAAAGCCCAGUCGUGUUGUCGUGAGGAGAGGCAAAAGGAAGAUCAUCGGAAUGGAUGGAGUAGCCAAUGAGCAAGACUUUGACAAGUACGGCGACCCGAGGAUCGAACAUGACGACGAUGAUGAAGUAGCAGCAUACACCACAAGAAGAAGCAGGACCACCCUACCUAAAGGACGUCCGUUCCAUAGAAGAACUCCAUUUGCGAAAAAGAAGGGCAAGAAGAUUGUGAACAGAUAGCUAGCUAAGAUCGAUGAUAUUUUUUAAAAAAUUAUUACUGUCUUAUAAAAAAAUUAUUACUGUCUUAUAAAACAAGUUUGAACAUAUUUAAACACAAAUAAGUAUCAAACAACAUUUUAAAUGCAUAAAAAAAAUUGUGGACCCCCCGCACCCCUCCCCUNNNNNNNNNNNNNNNNNNNNNNNNNNNNNNNNNNNNNNNNNNNNNNNNNNNNNNNNNNNNNNNNNNNNNNNNNNNNNNNNNNNNNNNNNNNNNNNNNNNNNNNNNNNNNNNNNNNNNNNNNNNNNNNNNNNNNNNNNNNNNNNNNNNNNNNNNNNNNNNNNNNNNNNNNNNNNNNNNNNNNNNNNNNNNNNCUCCCCCGCUCCACCGGCAUUACUGUUUGAUGAUAUUUUUAAAAAAAUUAUUACUGUCUUAUAAAAAAAUUAUUACUGUCUUAUAAAACAAGUUUGAACAUAUUUAAACACAAAUAAGUAUCAAACAACAUUUUAAAUGCAUAAAAAAAAUUGUGGAGCCUGGGAAUCGUACCCAGGACCUCCUGGUGUGAGAACUAGCUGCUGACCAGUCGAGCUAGUAGAGAAGACUUGACGUGUAUCAGGUCAGGUGGUAGAUAACUGUUGGCUCGAGCAGAAAAAAAAUACUAAUGGCGCACCAGGGUGAGGUGCGCCAUUAGCAUGUAUGUACUUAUGGCGCACCGAGGGGUGGUGCGCCAUUAGUAUUGUGCGCCCCUACUUCGUACCGAUCCCCUCUCUCUCCCUCGCCCGCGAUCCCCUUCCCCGAUCUCCUCUCCCGACGCCACCGUCGCCCCGCCCCGACACCACCGUCGCCCCGCCGCCCUCGACGCCACCGUCGCCCCGCCGCCCCAGCGCCGCCCCGACACCACCGUCGCCCCGCCGCCCCGACACCACCAUUCGUCGCCCCGCCGCCCCGAACCAGGGAGCGGAAGCGCGGCCUCCGCCGUCGUAGCAGAAGCAGCGAUCCCCAUCGCCAGCAGCCCAAGAAAGGUUCCCCUCCCCUUCCUCCCUCCCUCCCUCCCCUACGCCUCCUCACGCGUGGCUCUACGGAUCGGUGAUCUUUAUCGUUUCGUUUUUGUGCUGGAUCGAUUUAGUUGUUGUGAUUGAUUUCGUUGAUAGUUUAGUUCCCGAUAUCUCUAGUCCGGUUGAUUAUCACAAUGUUGAUUAUCACAAUGUUGAAAACUUAUCACAAUGUUGCUGUGAUAUUUAGUUGCUGUGAUUGAUUUCAUUGUUGAUUAUCACAAUGUUGAAAACUUAUCUACUUUUUGCCCCCUACAGCAAGCAAUAAAGUAAUUCUAUUAGUCGUCCAUUGAGAUAUAUAUGAGUUAUUACAAUGUGAGAAGAACAAUUCUCAAACUAUAAAUUUUAUUAAAAAUGAAAAAUGAAACAUAAACGGGUUUGCAUAUAAUAAGUCUGGACAGAUCAAUUUCCAUAUUUAUUUUAUUCCAGUAUAUUUUCUCAUAUACAACCAAAGUUUUUUUGCGAGGUAUAACAAAAGUUUCUUUUCUUAUUUCCAGCCCCCUUCAAUAUUUUUCAGAAAGGAAAUGUUCAUCGCUGUGUUCCAUGGUCGAGACUAUCUCGCUUCUUUUUCUCCAUCCAAAAACUCUCUAAUCAUUCCAUCAGAUAUGCAUAUGCGCUAACCACCAUUGAAUACUUCUCAAGCCAUCCCCAAGUAGUAUCUUAUAGUACAGCCAACUCUAAGAACUGUCCCAAAAGGCCAAAACAUCACCUCGUUCCUUGCCAACGUGAUUAGUGUGCACGCUGCCGCAUACUGCCUGUCUAUUUGUAUGCUCGGUUCGGCCUGCUACACACACAAAUGCACAACAGUAGCAAGCAGGUGAACUUUUCUUGUUUGUAGAUGGUUCUGGAAAACAGCAGAAUCUUUACUAUACUGCAGAUGCAUUGUAGCCGGCACUGUAGAUGCGAAUCCCAACAUUUUGGACCAUUCGAUGGACUAUAUCAACGGUUCAGAUUCUUUCCUAUCAUUGAGAUUCAAAUCUUCAAAACUCGUACACUAUAUAGUAAUAUAGAUAUGCUGGUCCUUGCUCAAGAUUUGUAUAGAGGAGGAAUUGAAACAUACUGUGUUUAAAUAAAACAUGAUAUAGUUGGAGCCAGAGCCCUAUAUGGACCUUACUGGUUCUUGCUGAAGAUUUAUUGUACUUUCUACUAACGGUAUAACUUUUGUGAUAUGUAUUGUUAUGUUGGUAAAAUAGACAACCUAGAUUUACACGCAGGAUCUCUAAUCCAGAGAGGAGGGAGUAUAAGAUAGCAAAUUUACUUGCAAUAAAACAGGGGCUGUUAAUUGUAGUUUUGUUUUGGUCUGCAAUUGCAUAUACGGACAUUUAUUUAAUUACCACAAGAUCUAAACCAGGAUAAGAGCAAAGAGUAAUCAGAUCUGAACUGAAACUAGCUAGGAGCAGAGCACAUUUGUGUAGAAGCAGAGUGCAUGAAAUAUGGGGCUUUUCUGGAUGCUGCUGUUCUUGGUAGGAUGAACAAGUGGCACCUUGUAGGGUCUUGAUUGGUUAUGUUGCAAACUGAAUAUCUAGCUGCUAGGACCCAGUUUCCAAUCUAGUCUGUAGUAGUGACAUGCUAGUUUAGCACAUACUGCUUGUAGUGGGUAGUAGUGGAAUGCUAUUUUAGAUGGUCUAUUACUAUGUAGGACCUUAAUUGGUGGAGUCUCAACGCUGAACUGGGUAGUAGUUAGGAGUCAAUUUCUUUAAUCCUAGUGUAGCUGCUCUCUUAAUACUUGUCUGUAGGUUCUUAAUUGUUGGUGUCUCAAAAACUGAAUAUGUUUUCAUAGCAUAACUUGAGGGAUAGUUUGUUUAGUAAAGUGCGAAUUUAGCUAUCCCUUACUAUAUAGAUGAUUGAUCUUUGUCGAAAAAUAUGUGGAUGAUUGAUAGUACGCUUCCUGUUUCUGCACACAGUGCACUCUGUUAUGAACUAUAUGUAUGCUGCACUUUCUUCGUCCGAGUGCAUCGAUGUAGACGUUUUCCUGCUUGUUGUUGGGAGUGAAAAUAAGAACCUCUUCUCCCUGGUUAGCAGUAAAUACUGCAUGCGCAAUGCCUGCUGUUUUCUCUUCUGAAAUUUAUGAAUGUCAGUGGAUCAACAUCUAUGUGCCAUAAAUUGCAUUUUCCCUUUUUGCUGCUAGUGCCCAUUUUGAGUAAUGGCUUAGAGGGAUGAUCCUGUGUGAGCUGGUGGAGUGAUUUGUUUUCUACAUAAAGCUCUUUAGUCAGGCUGGUUUUCGUGAAAUACACAUGAAGCUUCACCAGCUCCUGUGGGUGUGGGAUCCAUGUGACAUGUGACAUUGCAUCCAUGUCCACCUGGGAUAAUGAUUUUGCACGUACCCCGAGAGGCCCUUGAGUUUGCUGGAAUGUCGAUUAACUUCCGUUCCGGCAAAUUCGGGUACUCCAUAUGUCCUAUUUUCAGCAAAGGUCAUGCUGAAAUUUUCCAUGAAUUUUAGCAUGACUUUGCUAAAAAUAGGACAUAUGGGGUACUUGUGACUAAUGCAUGGGCCGGGGUAUCGUAGUAGUUAAUUAAGUAGGAUCAAGUGCCCCGGCAUACUUGUGACUAAUGCCUAAAUGAUAAAACCGAAAUGAUGAAAGCUUAGGCUUUUAGGGUGCCUCGGCGUCGAAAAACCCUCAAUGAUAAAAGCUUAGAUUUUAGGAUGCCUCGGUGUCGACAAACCUUAAAUGAUGAGACCAUGAUCUUGUUCCUUGACAAUAACCAACUUUUUGACCAAACUUUGUUUCUAUUUAGAGAGAAACAUGGCCCACAACGAUGAGGACGGGGGUUCGGGCGGCAAGGCAUUCUAGGAGCUGUCCCAGGAGAUGGAGGAACAACCUCACUUGUAUGAGGCCGCCGCCUUCCCCACCGAUCCUGAGACCACUGAUGGUGCCGCCGAGGAUGACCACACUGAUGCCACCACUGAUGGUGCCGCCGAGGAUGCCACCACUGAUGAUGGCGGCACACGCACAGAUGGCAGCCAACCGAAGAGGCAACGGAAGGACCGGCGCCUGACCGUGCUCCGCACCCUCAAGGAGGAAGUUACUGAAGUGGACUCCAACGGGAAUCCAAUGGCGCCCGAACGAAUAGUCAAGGGGUACUCGCUUCAGCUCGGGUGCAUUGUCCGGAGCACCGUCUCGAUCAACACCGAGAACCUGAGGCAUCCUGACAGAGAGAAUUUGCGCAACCUCCUCUUCACGAAGCUGCACGAACGAUACAAGUUCCCCGCUGAAUUUGCAAACACAAGCCUCAAAGGGAAUAAAGUGAACAAUGCUGCCCUCACGAAGAUGAGCAAGGCCCUGUCUACUUGGAAAAGCAAUGUGAAGAGAAUGAUCGAGAAAGGUGAGAGUUAUCAGAAGAUCAAGGAGAAAAAUCCUUCGAUCACCGAAGAUGACUACAACGACUUCAAGAUCAAUUGCUCGAGCACCGCAAACUCCCAAUCAAGUGAGUGGGGGAAACAAAUGCGGGAACUGAACAUAGGGGAACACACACUCGGUCCCGGCGGUUACAGAGUGGCGGAGCCUAUAUGGGACAAGGAGGAGGCGGACCGUGCCGAGCAAGGCCUACCGCCCCUCUUCGAUAAAUACGGUGACAAGCAGACCAUGAACUUUGUCAGGGCCCGGUACAAGAAGGACCCGAAAACAAAGGAGCUUACCACGGAUCCGAAGACCAGGCAGCUUGAGCUUGUUCUGGUAAGGAAUACACCCCCGCGUAAUUAGCUCCAUAUGGUUGCAUUCUAAUUAAUGAAGCCAAAUUUCUAAAUGGUUCACAUUCCUUCCGCAGGCGACUGAAAGCAGUAGCACGGGGUCGACUAAGAGCAACCCUUGGGACACCACUCUAAAUAGGGGGUUGAAUGUAAUGAAGAACAAGGAUAAGCUCAGUAAGCCGACGUCAGUUGGUCGUGUGGCCGGCAAAGGCUUGUCGACAAAAUGGGGGUCAUACUAUACCGCUGGUGUGCGGAAGGAGAAAAAGACCAGCUCGGAAAGCCAGGCGCGAGAGGUUCAAGAACUCAAGGCACAGGUGGCGCGGAUUCCGGAGAUUGUCCAAGAGCAAGUGGAACAACGAUUCGGAGCGACGAUCACCGCCAUUGUGCCUACCUUGAUCUCGGGGUUGAGUGCGUGGAUUGCGGGCGGCCAACAGGGGCCGCCCCCGAUUCCUAGCUUCACGGCUAGCAACUCGCAUAAUGCGAUGGCGGGGCCAUUGGUGCCUCCAGCGGAGGCGGCAUUGGUGUCUCCGACGCCGGCACGGGAGCUUAAUGCACCCGGGUGUACACCGGCCGGCACCUCUGCAGCAAGCGGCCCCUUCGUCAACUGCACGCCCGCCGUUGGCGGUGCCUCUACAUUAGCCGAGCUCGAGCCAUCAUCACGGUAACUAAUUAAGCCUCUCUCGGCCGAGGACUUCAUCUCCUUGCCUUUGACUGGGCAUCCCUGACGCCCUACAUGUUUUCGCAGGGCGCCGCCGACGUUCCGUGCACUCUCCUCCACUUAGUGAACAACGAGUUGGUCGAUGUCGCCAAGGGCAAAAUAGUUCAACCGGGCAACCCCUUGUUCCACGGUACCCAGAUGCCACCCAACUUGUUUAGGGUUCAAUUGGUUCGGGUGCUGCCAGGCUGCGACGAGUUGUUACCUCCGAUUCGACCCAUCGGGGCCGACGAUGAUGAUGUGAUGACCCUCAGCGCAUGCUUGAGCUGGCCCCUGCUUUGGCCGAAGAGCCAGAUUCGUUUGGGGGCGGGGGACACCACCCCAAAGACAACAUCGCCAGUCGUGCCGGCGCCAAGUCGGCCCCAUGGCAAGACCGCCGCAACGGUGCCGGACAUCCCUAUGCCACUGGAUCCAAACAUGCAUAUGGCACAGGAUCAGAACGACGACGACGACGACGAUGAUACAUUUCGCAACGUCGAUCAGUACUUUGCCAAUCAUGGGUACGAUGGCGACUUCAUGGGGCCUCCUUCUCAAGAACCAAACCCAACAAAAGACGUGUGCGAUCUAGCUGGUACCGCGGAGAAGCCAAGUUGCAACAGGCGUCGUCUGGCGUUCAGCUCUCAGGAGACGCCUCCAGCUGCCGACUUCACCGAGCCUCAGAUAGGCGAGGUGCGAAAUAUUAUCAGCCCCAACACACUCAAGAAGGCGGUCUGUGAGCAAAACUCGGUCCCAUUACAGGAGAAGAAGGCACGCAAAAGAAAGACUAAGAAGGGUGCGAGCCAGCCGGCACAGAGUACGAUCCGUGCUCAGGACGGGCCACCUUCACCGCAGGAUAUCUCGAGGAGGGUGCAUGUGGCGGGUAGGGCGAUGCUACCGACAAAUAUGCUCAAUGCUGCAACCGGUGCUAUGCGGAGUCUGCAUGACAGUGUUCUUUCUUUGGAGAAGCGGCGUCUCAGGGAGAAGGAUGUGGCAUACCCAGUUUUCGCGGCCAAGGUGCCAGAGGGCAAGGGCUUUGUGGAUAACUCCAUCGGGCGUACGAUCGUCCUGCGUUUUGAUGACAUCCACGCUAUUUUGAACCUUCAUCCGCUGCACUACACCUUCGUUCGGCUAUUUUCGCUGAGUAUGGAGAUGCGGAUCAUUCGCGACAAGACCCCGGACAUCGUGAUAGUUGACCCCUUCUAUAUGCGUGCCAAGAUCUUGGGCAGCGCUAGGGACCGGCAAGUCGCGAGUUCUUACCUCGAAGGCGUCAUUCUGGCAAACCAAGAUAAGGAUAACUUCCUCGUGCCUUACUUUCCCGAAUAAGUCCUCCCCUCAACCGGCCCGUAACAUAUGAAUUCUUACAUUUCGAUCAUUUUUCUUUUAACAUUCCGUGUUUUCUGCAGUGACACACGUUGCACGCUCAUCCUCCUAAGCCCCAAAUAUUCCAUGGCCACGUAUUUCGACCCGGACCGUCAGUCGAACGUAGACUACACAAAUGUCAAGAAGGUUCUUGAUGAUGUUCUCCCCGGCUACGCCAAAUCUGGAGGCACCUUCACCAGGCCUAUUCGUAAGUACGGCAAGCACGUGUUCUCCCACAAUACGAUGUUCUGCUGCGUCAAGCAGCCGCCUGGCGGUCAGAAGGGUGCCUACUAUGCCAUCCAUCACAUGCGGGCGAUCGUACGGGACCAUCAUCAACUUCUGCUACCGAGUAAACUCAAAGAUUGGGCAAAGAGCGUGUCGGCAAUCCAGGACGCGGACCUUCGACAAGAAUUUUUUCGCAUCCAAUCGGAGUUUGCGGAAAUCAUCCAUCAAGAUGUCCUUCGUACCUCGGGGCAGUUCUACCUCAACAAUCAACCGUCCAACAGUGACAUCGACACAAUGCUACAAAUGCAGACUGACAACGACCGUUAUUUCAUGACUCCCACGAUAGACGGCGGCUUCAUCCACGCUCCGGUCCCUUGAGUCGAGUCGAAAGCAGUGAUGUUGUGUCUAGUUCUGAAACAUCGAUUGGCUCAUGUUGUAAUUAAACUUUAAUGAACUUGUAGUAUGUCUCUUUGGUUUCGAGAGUCAUUCAACUUAGAUGUAAUCGAUGCUAUUAAUGUCUUGCUUUUUCUUCCGAUCGUUCUGUUGCAUACUUAUAUAUUGCUUAUGUAUUGUCUGUGAAUUGGUACUAACGUUUCAUUUGGCUAGUGCAUAGCGAUGCCGACGUAUGUCGUGUACAAGGGUAAGGUUCCCGGAGUCUACGAUGACUGGGAGGAGUGUUGGAGACAGGUUCACCGAUUCAGCGGUAACAGUUACAAAGGGUACACCACUAGGGCCGAGGCCAAAUCUAGAUACGCCCGCUAUCUAGCGGGAGAGGGGAGGGAGCGUUGGAGGAACCGGAUGAAGACGAGUUUCAUCGUGAUGAUGCUCAUCGUGAUGACCGCAGCUCUCUUCUAUGUGAUGGUAGUUUAGAUGAUCGAUAUCGACUUGUAAUGUGAAGACAAACUCGCUACUCACGGUCUCGAGACUUGUAAUAUAAUGUUCUAUCUUUGUUCGGUCUUUUUAAUUCGGAGACUAAUAUGAUGAAUUGUAUUCGGAGACUAAUAUGAUGAAUUGUAUUCAAAGACUAAUCUUCUAUUGUAUUCGAUGAAUCUGUUGUUGAUGUGUGCUGUCUAUAUUUUGUCAAAUUAUACAUUUUGUAACCUGUGCAAAAAACAGAAAAUAAAAAAAACCUAAUAUUCAUACUAAUGGAGCAUCACAUGACAGUGCGCCAUUAGUACGACAAAGCAUACUAAUGGCGCAUCACUAGACAGUGCGCCAUUAGUAUGCCGCGGUUACUAAUGGCGCAUCUCGUGGUCGUGCGCCAUUAGUAUGCCAAAGCACCUGGGUAUACAUGGCCCCUGGGAGGCAUACUAAUGGCGCACCGUAGCCUAUACUAAUGGCGCACCACUGGUGCGCCAUUAGUAAAAAUUACUAAUGGCGUGCUAGUAAUGGCGCACCAGUGAUGCGCCAUUAAUGGCCAAAUUAGGUGCGCCACUAGUAGCGGUUUUUCUAGUAGUGUGUGGUGACUGCAGCUGGUUUCUUUUCCAGUGAUCAUGAUCUCGCGUUGUUUGUUCACAUGUCUCCUCGUGGUCGGACUCUUCUCCUUCUCUAUGUUGAUGACAUGGUCAUCACUGGUGACGACUCUGAGUAUAUUGCCUUUGUUAAGGCUCGCCUUCGCGCCUAGUUUCUCAUGACUGAUCUUGGUCCACUUCGCUAUUUUCUUGGGAUUGAGAUCUCCUCGACCUCUCAUGGCUUUUACAUUUCCCAAGAAAAAUAUAUUCAGGAUCUUCUUACUCGCGCUGCUCUCAGUGAUGAGCGCACUGUUGUGACUCCUAUGGAGCUCAACGUUCAGCUUCGUGCCUCUGAUGGUGACCCUCUCCAUAAUCCCACUCGCUAUCGCCACCUCGUUGGCAGUCUUGUCUAUCUUGCUGUUACGCGUCCUGACAUCUCCUAUCCUGUCCACAUCCUGAGUCAAUUUGUUUCCGCCCCCACCUCUGUCCACUAUAGUCACCUCCUCAGUGUUCUACGAUAUCUUCGUGGCACGAUCUCUCAGCGCCUUUUCUUUCCCCGCUCCAGCUCUCUUGAGCUCCAGGCCUACUCUGAUGCUACCUGGGCUAGUGAUCCCUCUGAUCGACGAUCGUUGUCUGCUUACUGUGUCUUUCUUGGUACCUCUCUUAUUGCCUGGAAGACCAAGAAGCAGACUGCAGUUUCUCGCUCGAGUACAGAGGCUGAGUUGCGCGCCAUGGCUAUGUUGACGGCUGAGGUGAUCUGGUUACGGUGGUUACUUGAGGACUUUGGUGUGUCUGCUACUACCUCAACUCCUCUACUGUCCGACAGUACCGGUGCUAUCAGUAUUGCGCGUGACCCGGUGAAGCAUGAGCUCACCAAGCACAUCGGUGUGGAUGCCCACUUUGUGCAUGCUGCUGUGCAGGAUCAGACUCUCGCUCUUCACUAUGUGCCCUCUGAGUUACAGUUGGCUGACUUCUUCACGAAGGCACAGACUCGAGCGCAGCAUGAGUUUUUCCUCUCCAAACUCAGUGUUGUUGAUCCACCAUGAGUUUGAGGGGGGGGGGGGGUGUUAGAUGUAUAUAGUCCAUUGUGUACAUCCCCAUUGUAUAAGGAGCUUUUCUGCACUUUACCACAUCUGUAUAUGUACUGGCCAUUGGCCCUCAGUAAAGUUUAGUUGCUCAUUCCUAACAGUACCCACUCGCCUUCUCUCUUCUCCAACCGGGUAUCAAUUCACUCUUUCACUUUAGUUUAUUGAUUUGGCUCAGUGCAAUUAACUCAGUUGGAAGCGAUUAACUGAGUUGCUUGUUUAUCGACUUCGAAAAGUUAAUCGCUUUGGCACUAUAUUAUUAUGAGUAGAUGAACAAAAUAACACUCAAUACAUGUGCCCAGAUAUUGACCAACUCCUUUUGGUACUCGGAAACACAUUUUGACUAACUCAUCCACCUCACAACAGAUGGAUACGAUGCUGUUCACAGGCUUACAAUAGAUGGAUACAAGCAGUAUUUGUUAAGAGAGCAAGAUGGACAGACAAAAGAAGGUCAUCAAAUAAGCAAUAAAGUGCCAAUCAGGUCUCUCAGCAUAUAACAUUCCCGUUGGUUCAAGCUCAGCGUUCCACUUCAAUUUUCAACUGCUAUAUAUGUAUCAAUCUACAGCUGUAUUAUAAUGUACAUGUAAAUGUACAUACUGAUAGUACUCCAGCAUAAUUUUUGCAAAAUAAAAAUAUGAGCUGAAAAUAUGGCUGAAAGCAAAUCACUAUUACAGCCUUAAGAGUUAUAGCGAUAUCAAAGGAUAUUAAAGUGCCGAUGAAAAAUGAAACUAUAGCACCGAGGUUCCAAAUGUGACUGCCAAUCAAGUUACUCAUUUGACAUUUAAGUUGGCACAAGGAUGAUCGACAUGUACUAGGCAGAAAGAUUUUACUCUUGAAGAUAUCAAACUCAUACGCCUGUUGCCAAAUCUGAUGCUGAAAAGAUUUAUCCAUAUGACUACUGUUCAUUGUUACAGAAUUGCAUCCGGCAGAAAAAGAAAACAAAAAAAGGCACGCCAUUACCUGUAGCAUAGAAAUUUUGCAAUGCAUGAUACAUGGUAUAUUCCUGGCCCUGCCACUGUUGCAAAGUCUCUUAAACGUCAAUAAUUGGAGAUGGACCAUGAACAAAACACGAGAUGUCCUUACAAGCGUCACAUUGUUUUCCUUGUGGAACCCCACUAAAGCCGGAGACUUCCUCCUGCGUGCUGCCCCAAAAGGAGGAAGCUUAUCCAGUUCAAUACUUCUUCCCAGAAUAUUUUGGGGGACUGAACCUGCGUCGACGAACAAUCAUGACACUGAAUUGGUGCAAGAAGAUAUAGGUCCACCACUAGCGGAGGUAGAUGCUGUUGCAGGAACCUAGAACCAGACCAGGACCAACUGGCGAGAGGCGAUGAAGAACAUGUUCUUGCAAGAGAGGCAGAGAAGCAUCAAGAUGGAGGUGAGAAUGGUGGAAGCAAGCCAAGAAAAGUUGAGCUGACAGAGGAGCAGUAGGCGUGCAUGGGGACUGAGCGACACAAGGCGUUGGAGAUAUGAAACCUGAUGCUCCCACAGUUUAUGGUUACAUGCAUCAGCCGUAUGCAUGAUGGAUUCUCAGACAUCCUCUGGUUCUAUGGAACGGAAACUUCUAUGUUCGCAGUGCUCAAGAAACUGAACCAUACCAGCUCAUCCACAAUUUGGCAGGCAUUAUAGAUGAACUCAUCAGAAGAAUCUUAAUAGAAGAUAUUAACUAACUUAUCCACUCAUACAGAUAAAAACUAGAUCUCUCAUGUAGUGAUAGACGAUCUGGACUAAAAUAACCUGGCUGCCAAUCUCCCAACACAAACAUCAGUACGAGUCUUGUUGCCAGCAUCUUUUGCUUACAUAGAUACAUACGACGCUCAAUACAGAGUUACAGACAUAUCAAACUACAUCAGCACCAUCUUGAUCAUCCGCCAUCCAUCUCCAGGUGUAU
rnacentral:lncRNA from 1 species